rnacentral:rRNA from 1 species
GAUGAACGCUGGCGGCGUGCCUAACACAUGCAAGUCGAGCGAACUUCUUCGGAAGUGAGCGGCGGACGGGUGAGUAACGCGUGGGUAACCUGCCUCAUACACAUGGAUAACAUACCGAAAGGUAUGCUAAUACAAGAUAAUAUAGUGAAAUCGCAUGGUUUUACUAUCAAAGCUUUUGCGGUAUGAGAUGGACCCGCGUCUGAUUAGCUAGUUGGUAAGGUAAUGGCUUACCAAGGCGACGAUCAGUAGCCGACCUGAGAGGGUGAUCGGCCACAUUGGAACUGAGACACGGUCCAAACUCCUACGGGAGGCAGCAGUGGGGAAUAUUGCACAAUGGGCGAAAGCCUGAUGCAGCAACGCCGCGUGAGCGAUGAAGGCCUUCGGGUCGUAAAGCUCUGUCCUCAAGGAAGAUAAUGACGGUACUUGAGGAGGAAGCCCCGGCUAACUACGUGCCAGCCGCCGCCGUAACAC